rnacentral:misc_RNA from 1 species
CACCAAUCAAGCCUGGCUUGGUGUUGGGCCCCGGGGGGUGACCCGGACCUCAAUGUCCCGUCGGCCGGACGACCCGGAUCCCAGCGAUGGACACACAAACACGCUGGUCGAGCCGGGGGGCCGCGCCGUGAACGACACCGUUCUGCGGAACGAAA